rnacentral:rRNA from 1 species
GCACAAGCAGCGGAGCAUGUGGUUUAAUUCGAAGCAACGCGAAGAACCUUACCAGGUCUUGACAUCCCUCUGAAUGGCGCUUAGCAGCGCAGGUCUUUCGGGACAGAGGAGACAGGUGGUGCAUGGUUGUCGUCAGCUCGUGUCGUGAGAUGUUGGGUUAAGUCCCGCAACGAGCGCAACCCUUGCCUUUAGUUGCCAGCACGUAAAGGUGGGCACUCUAGAGGGACUGCCGGUGACAAACCGGAGGAAGGUGGGAUGACGUCAAAUCAUCAUGCCCCUUAUGAUCUGGGCUACACACGUGCUACAAUGGCCGGUACAACGAGAAGCGAAACCGCGAGGUGAAGCAAAUCCUAAAAAGCCGGUCUCAGUUCGGAUUGCAGGCUGCAAUUCGCCUGCAUGAAGUCGGAAUCGCUAGUAAUCGCAGGUCAGCAUACUGCGGUGAAUACGUUCCCGGGCCUU